rnacentral:rRNA from 1 species
UACAGAGGGUGCGAGCGUUAAUCGGAAUUACUGGGCGUAAAGCGUGCGCAGGCGGUUUUGUAAGUCUGACGUGAAAUCCCCGGGCUUAACCUGGGAAUUGCGUUGGAGACUGCAAGGCUGGAGUCUGGCAGAGGGGGGUAGAAUUCCACGUGUAGCAGUGAAAUGCGCAGAUAUCAGGAGGAACACCGGUGGCGAAGGCGAGUCCCUGGACACUUCCUGACACUGAGGCACGAAAGCUAGGGGAGCAAACAGG